UCUUCAUACGUCAGAAGUUUUCUGAAAACCUUUCAUAAUAUUCCGUAGCCUUUUCCUUUCUUUGCUUUCGUUGCCGUGAUCUGAGCAGAGGUUGAUCGUCGAGGUUUUUAUCAUCAGUUGAUCCUGGCAUUCUUAUUUUUGAAUCGUGUGACUGAAUGAUCCAUGGAGU